rnacentral:rRNA from 1 species
CGGGUGAGUAACACGUGGGCAACCUACCUGUAAGACUGGGAUAACUCCGGGAAACCGGGGCUAAUACCGGAUAAUACUUUGCUUCGCAUGAAGGAAAGUUGAAAGAUGGCUUCUAGCUAUCACUUACAGAUGGGCCCGCGGCGCAUUAGCUAGUUGGUGAGGUAAGAGCUCACCAAGGCAACGAUGCGUAGCCGACCUGAGAGGGUGAUCGGCCACACUGGGACUGAGACACGGCCCAGACUCCUACGGGAGGCAGCAGUAGGGAAUCUUCCGCAAUGGACGAAAGUCUGACGGAGCAACGCCGCGUGAACGAAGAAGGUUUUCGGAUCGUAAAGUUCUGUUGUUAGGGAAGAACAAGUACCGUUCAAACAGGGCGGUACCUUGACGGUACCUAUCGAGGAAGCCCCGGCUAACUACGUGCCAGCAGCCGCGGUAAUACGUAGGGGGCAAGCGUUGUCCGGAAUUAUUGGGCGUAAAGCGCGCGUAGGCGGUUUCUUAAGUCUGAUGUGAAAUCUUGCGGCUCAACCGCAAGCGGUCAUUGGAAACUGGGGAACUUGAGUACAGAAGAGGA